rfam:Citrus sinensis cultivar Ridge Pineapple sweet orange scaffold00007_contig_100, whole genome shotgun sequence.
GGAUAUGAUGAUAGCAUUUGACACCCAGUCUCACUUGCUUCUUUUGCGUUGAUGCAAUGUGGUGAGAUAACGAUCGACUAUCUGAUCC